rnacentral:rRNA from 1 species
UGGGGAAUUUUGGACAAUGGGCGAAAGCCUGAUCCAGCAAUGCCGCGUGUGUGAAGAAGGCCUUCGGGUUGUAAAGCACUUUUGUCCGGAAAGAAAUCCUUGGCUCUAAUACAGUCGGGGGAUGACGGUACCGGAAGAAUAAGCACCGGCUAACUACGUGCCAGCAGCCGCGGUAAUACGUAGGGUGCAAGCGUUAAUCGGAAUUACUGGGCGUAAAGCGUGCGCAGGCGGUUUGCUAAGACCGAUGUGAAAUCCCCGGGCUCAACCUGGGAACUGCAUUGGUGACUGGCAGGCUAGAGUAUGGCAGAGGGGGGUAGAAUUCCACGUGUAGCAGUGAAAUGCGUAGAGAUGUGGAGGAAUACCGAUGGCGAAGGCAGCCCCCUGGGCCAAUACUGACGCUCAUGCACGAAAGCGUGGGGAGCAAACAGGAUUAGAUACCCUGGUAGUCCACGCCCUAAAACGAUGUCAACUAGUUGUUGGGGAUUCAUUUCCUUAGUAACGUAGCUAACGCGUGAAGUUGACCGCCUGGGGAGUACGGUCGCAAGAUUAAAAGUCAAAUGAAUUGACGGGGUCAUAGCUGUUUCCU